GCCGGGGUGGCGGAAGAGGCAGACGCGCCAGACUUAAAAUCUGGUGGGUGAAAGCCCGUGCGGGUUCAAGUCCCGCCCCCGGCA
rnacentral:tRNA from 1 species